AGAGGACCGGUUAGCUGCAUUUUGUGUGGCGAAGCUGAGAAUUUAAGCCCCAGUAAACGGCGGUGGUAACUAUAACCAUCCUAAGGUAGCGAAAUUCCUUGUCGGGUAAGUUCCGACCUGCACGAAUGGCGUAACGACUUCUCUGCUGUCUCGACCACAGACUCGGCGAAAUUGCAUUACGAGUAAAGAUGCUCGUUACGCGCGGCAGGACGAAAAGACCCCGGGACCUUCACUAUAGCUUGGUAUUGGUGUUCGGUUCGGUUUGUGUAGGAUAGGUGGGAGACUGUGAAGCGGGCACGCCAGUGUUUGUGGAGUCGUUGUUGAAAUACCACUCUGAUCGUAUUGGAUGUCUAACCUCGGGCCCUGAUCGGGUUCAGGGACAGUGCCUGGUGGGUAGUUUAACUGGGGCGGUUGCCUCCUAAAAUGUAACGGAGGCGCCCAAAGGUUCCCUCAGCCUGGUUGGCAAUCAGGUGUUGAGUGUAAGUGCACAAGGGAGCUUGACUGUGAGACUGACAGGUCGAGCAGGGACGAAAGUCGGGACUAGUGAUCCGGCACCGGCAUGUGGAAGCGGUGUCGCUCAACGGAUAAAAGGUACCCCGGGGAUAACAGGCUGAUCUUCCCCAAGAGUCCAUAUCGACGGGGAGGUUUG
rnacentral:rRNA from 1 species